rnacentral:rRNA from 1 species
UACGUAGGGUGCAAGCGUUGUCCGGAAUUAUUGGGCGUAAAGAGCUUGUAGGCGGUUUGUCGCGUCUGCUGUGAAAUUUCGGGGCUCAACCCCGAACUUGCAGUGGGUACGGGCAGACUAGAGUGUGGUAGGGGAGACUGGAAUUCCUGGUGUAGCGGUGAAAUGCGCAGAUAUCAGGAGGAACACCGAUGGCGAAGGCAGGUCUCUGGGCCACUACUGACGCUGAGAAGCGAAAGCAUGGGGAGCAAACAGG